rnacentral:rRNA from 1 species
AACGAACGCUGGCGGCAGGCCUAACACAUGCAAGUCGAACGCCCCCUUCGUGAUGACCUGCGGACGCGUGAGUCACGCGUGGGAACGUUCCCUUUUCUACGGAAUUGCCCCGUUAAACUGAGAGUAAUACCGUAUACGCCCCUUUGGGGAAAGAUUUAUCGGACUAGGAUCGGCCCGCGUGGUAUUAGGUAGUUGGUGUGGUAAUGGCCUACCACGCCUACGAUACAUAGCUGGUUUGAGAGAAUGAGCAGCCACACUGGGACUGAGACACGGUCGGGAAUACUACGCGAGGCAGGAGUGGGGAAUCCUGGAAAAUGGGGGCAACGCAGAAGGAGCCAGGCUGGGUGAGUGAUGAAGGUCGUAGAGUAGAAAAGCUGUUUAAGAUGGGAAGAUAAUGACGGUACCAAAAGAAGAAGCCCCGGCUAACUCCGUG